GACGAACGCUGGCGGCGUGCUUAACACAUGCAAGUCGAACGGAAAGGCCCCCUUGUGGGGUACUCGAGUGGCGAACGGGUGAGUAACACGUGAGUAACCUACCCUUGACUUUGGGAUAACUUCAGGAAACUGGGGCUAAUACCGGAUAGGAGCUCCUGCUGCAUGGUGGGGGUUGGAAAGUUUCGGCGGUUGGGGAUGGACUCGCGGCUUAUCAGCUUGUUGGUGGGGUAGUGGCUCACCAAGGCUUUGACGGGUAGCCGGCCUGAGAGGGUGACCGGCCAAAUUGGGACUGAGGUACGGCCCAGACUCCUACGGGAGGCAGGAGGGGGGAAUAAUGCAAAAAGGGCGGAAGCCUGAUGCAGCAAAGCCGCGGGCGGGAUGAAGGCCUUCGGGUUGUAAACCGCUUUCGCCUGGGAAGAAGCGUGAGGGACGGUAAUGGGUAAAGAAGCACCGGCUAACUACGUG
rnacentral:rRNA from 1 species